AAGUAAUGGUUCUAGCAAUUCAAGGGGAAUUGCCAUAUGGCUGAAAAAAAACUAAACUUUAAAAUUAUAGAUGACUAUAAAGAUAAUGAAGGAAGGCUAUUGCUUGUUAAUAUUGAAAUAGAUGACACUAUUAUAACAAUAGCUAACAUUUAUGCGCCAAAUAAUCCAAAAAGCAGAAAUAUUUUUUUUAAAACUGUACAUGCUGUAAUAGAAGAAAAAAGUUUGGGUCAAUUAAUUCUAGGAGGAGAUUUUAACGAAAUUUUAUCCCAUAUUGAUUCAAAAAGCAAAUCUAAGCACCAAAAUAAAAA
rnacentral:lncRNA from 1 species